GUAUUACCGCGGCUGCUGGCACGAAGUUAGCCGGGGCUUAUUCUGUGGGUACAGUCAUUAUCUUCCCCACCAAAAGAGCUUUACAACCCUAAGGCCUUCGUCACUCACGCGGCAUGGCUCGGUCAGGCUUGCGCCCAUUGCCGAAUAUUCCCCACUGCUGCCUCCCGUAGGAGUCUGGGCCGUGUCUCAGUCCCAGUGUGGCUGAUCAUCCUCUCAGACCAGCUAUGGAUCGUAGCCUUGGUGAGCCAUUACCUCACCAACUAGCUAAUCCAACGCGGGCCCAUCUAGAAGCGAUAAAUCUUUCCCCCGGAGGGCGUAUACGGUAUUAGCACGAGUUUCCUCGAGUUAUUCCGUACUUCUAGGUAGGUUCCCACGCGUUACUCACCCGUCUGCCACUCUCUCCGAAGAGAGCGUUCGACUUGCAUGUGUUAAGCCUGCCGCCAGCGUUCGUUCUGAGCCAGGAUCAAACUCUAAGGGC
rnacentral:rRNA from 1 species